UGAAUUGUGUAAAUACAGAAAACAAAAAAAUAUAAUAUAAAAAAUGGGUGAAAGGGUUGCCAUCGCGUGGGCGAUAUUUUUCUAAGUGCGGGAAUCGAUAGUAGCUUUAAAGUAUGGCAACUCCCCCACCCUAUUUAUUCUAGUGCAUUUAGUUGAAUUGAACGUGUUGAAUUGCAUUUUAACAAAAGAAAUCUACUAAUAAUACUAAUUAUAAUUAGUGGGUAGAAUUACUAGAAUAAAGAAGAAAUUGUCGCAUUGUUUUUAUCGCAUUGUUUUGAUGUUUAUAAUCAACAAGGAGUGAUUUUUCCACCUACGACGACUUCAUUAGGGCCAUCCGGGAUGGAAUAAGGAGAGCCAAAAAUAAAAAUUAUAAGGAAAAAUAAAAAAAAAACAAAGAAAAUUCCCCGCCAUUACUUGACAAUUUAAAUUAAGCAGAAUGUUUAAAUAUUGUUUACUUUUAUUUUUAAUUUUUAGUUUUAAUUUGUAGUUUCAAUUUUUAGUUUUAAUUUUUAGUUUUAAUUUUAGCAGUGUAUUAAUUAACAGUGUAACUUAUAUUUAAUUUUAAUUUAAUAAAAUAAAAACGAAUAAAAGCAAAAAAAAAAGCAAAAGCAAAAAAAAUUUUUUCUUGAAUAAAAAUUUCCCUUGUCGCCUUUCGGUCACUUUUUCUCGGGCAAGGCUGCGUACGGUGUGCAUCCUGAGUGCAUCUUUUUCUCGUCGCGAGGCGCGCAAGUUUUGAUGCACGUGCUGAAUUUCCCGGCCACGCUAAUGUAAUUUGGAAUGAUGCGUUUCCUAUGUUGGGAGUGCGCGGCGCACGUCAAUGCUGCACGCUUUCAGCAAGAAAGCGUGCACCAGGUCCGACUGGGUUGUCUUUAUGCAAUGCCAGAAGAGGCGAGGCGGGGGCGGGUGCUGAUUGCAGGUUAAUUCUACUCUCACCGAUCCCAUUGUUGUUGUUGGUUUCGGCCAAGCCAGACAUAGACGGCGAGCGAGCAAGCGAGAGGGAUUGAAGAAGAGCGAACAGGAAAAUGAAAAAUAAUUGAAUUGUAAGGCAAUGUUUACAGGAGAGGAAGAGAAUAUCCGGACCAGCAGACAGACGGGUGGACGGAGAGGGGAAUCGCCGCCGCAGACGUUUGCAAUUGGC
rnacentral:sRNA from 1 species